rnacentral:lncRNA from 1 species
GGCAUUGCGCUGCCUCCACGAAGAUACCAUCAGCCCUCAUCAGACACCAAUUUUCUAGUUUGUAGACUAGCCAGACCUUCUUAUUCCCAUCCUAUUCGGCAGAAUCAAGAAAACAAAAUUCGAAUUGGACAAUUUUUCUAUUUGUAAGCACUUUAUAGAAAGGGUUUGGUUGCAGAAGUGAUUCAAGCUACUGACCAGAAUUCAGUUUUCAGGCUGUACGUGCCUAUAAAAUGACUUUGUCCUCUUGGAGAGAAGUCUGGAAGGGACCCAAAGGCUUGGCCAAGACUUCUGGGUCUCCACUCCUUUCAGCUUAAGCCUCUGGGAGGCCAAGAAGAAGGUUAGACCCAUUCCUAUUUCAGUGUUUUUGGUCCUUGGAGGGAUCCUGUGUCCUCUCUCAAGGCUCUGGGCAGCACGUGGGACACUAUUGCACAAAACGUAGCACAGUCUUGGUGAAAUAACCUUCCAAGUUAAGAUGUGCUUUGAGGAUUAGGACCACCCAGGAUGAAGAACUGCCUGAGCACGGUGACCCCAUUGUUCAUACGAGGGGUUGAGGAGGCAACAAGUCUACUUCUUGGGAGAAAUGCUGUGAAGACCAUGGAGCAAACUGAAGGCUCACGCUCUCUAUUGACGUGGCAAAGUCAACUCAGAAAAUGACUGUGUCCAGCUUUCGUGGGCUCCAGGCUCCAAGCUCUCAUUCACACCCUUCAGUUCUAUUAAGUCAGAACUGGACCAGGAGAAUUUGGGGAAGAGCAGCUCUGAAUUCGAGACUCGCCACUUGAGAGAUGUGUAUCCUUUCUGAGAUGCAGUUGCCUGAUCUGGAAAAUUGGGAUGAUCAUUUCUGUCACAGAGAGUCGGUGAAAAUCCUAAGGUGGAGAAGAGACUGAAUAUGCCCACUGUGCCCAAGGCAGGGCUAGAGUUGAUUUGGGGUUUACUUGGCUUCAUGGAUUUGAAACCAUAGAUGCUCUUACACAUCUUUCCCGUUUGAUUGGAGUGAAGCAUGCCACUCCUAAAAAGAAACUACUCGUUCUUUCAUUUCCUUCAAAAAAAAAAAAAGAGAGAGAGAGAGAAGAAGAAGAAAUUUAAUUUGGAUUCGGCUAAUACCCUUAUAACAUCUAAAGCUGUCAAGCAAAAAGAAGAGUAGAUAAUUAGAAGAUGAUGGGAGCCAGCACAGAGCCGAGUGGAGGAAAAGACAGGCACAGGGAAUUUGCACCAGGGACACGAGCUAGAACUGUUUCUGCACCAGACUGAAGUUACCACUGUCCAAGUCUACACUGUAUGCUGGCAAAUAGUCCCACUUCUUGCUGCACGGGCCCCUGCAGCUCUGCCAUGUUAAGCCCUGGCCCUUUCUCCGCGACAGCAUCUCUUACUCUUCACCCGUGUGGUCAUGGAAGUCGUCCUCCCACCGUCUCCAGACCUGUCCAGGUCUUUCAGCACCUGUGAAACCAAUUCUCUGCAUCCGUUCCCUUUGCUGUAAAUGCUUGAAGUGGUUUCUCUUUUCUGUGGAGCCCCUGGUGCUGCGUCCCCUACACCUCUGAGCCUGUGCCUCUUUCUGCUCUGUACUGGGCACGUCAGUAUGGUACCCGGACGAUGUCAGUGCCACCAACACCACAGGUGUUGCAUCAACAAGUGACAGCCCUAUGGGAGCUCUGUCAGUGCUUUCUCAUCAGGGACCCCUGCCAGGUGUCAGGAAGCACAGAUGAGAAAAUGGAGACUUGGAGGAGUAAUUUGCCCAAGAUCAUGCUGUGGGGCAGGGAUCUGAAUCCAGACAGUCUGACUCCAAAACCCAACUUCGUAACCACCAAAAUGUCUCUCAUUUGUUGGGACAAACCUGGUUAUGGAACCAGGUUCUUUUGCCUGAUGUGCAGCAAACCAAAUGCUGAGAUGCUGAGGUUUACAGAAGAGAAAAGGUUUAUUCACAAGGCACCCAAGCGAGGCGAUGGGAGGACAAGUUUCAGAUCUGCUUCCUUGAAGCCCUCGAAGCCGUGUGUGGAUCAAACACGUUGCGAAGUGACAAGAGCCAGGAGUGCUGAGUUUCGAGGAGGACGUGAGUCCCUGCCAACCGACUUUGGAAUUGCUGUGAGUGAGACACAAGCUUUCACUGUGUGAAACCCUGUGACUUGGGGGUUCAUCUUUUACCACAGCAUUGUCUAGCCUGACCAGAUUCAUUUGCAUAAGAAAAUCUCCACUGCCUUCAGAAUAUAAAGUAUAUUUCUGUAAACGUUGCAGAAAGCUAGUAUCUUGAUAAGAUAUAGAAAUUCUUCCACUCUUUCCUCUUACUGCAGUUCUUUCACUCCUUCUCUACCUUAAUGGGUUGGAGUUUGUCAUCAAGUCAGUCAGUCAACCAGGAUGCAGAUGUGAGUUUCCUUGUGGAAACAGGUGCCAGCAAAUAUUGCGUACCCCACCCGGAAGUACUGUGCCAAGUUAAAUCUAACCGAGGUCUUUUAGGUCGUUUCUGCCCACAUGAACCCAGGGUCGCUGAGUAUUAUUCCUUCAGCCCCAUCCACGCGAAAAGCUUCUUGGGUGAAGACAUGGAAUGCAGUUCAGCCCCAGGAUAUAUUCCUGCAAGGAGGAGUGCCAUGUACGACAGAUCAGAGACGGUAGGUGACAUGAUUUUGCACUCACGCCUAUUCCCUGCCUGCUCCUGUCCCAUCCUGUUCUAAACACCAGCAUCGCCUUGAAAUUCCCUUAAGCAAACUGAGACGCCAUAAGAAUCUCUACUGGUAUUGAUCCCAAUGCUGCAUAGUUUCUCUCCUGAACACUUUUUACCCAUAUUUAUACACAGGUAUGCAUAUCGGUAUGCAUGUAUAUACAUAAAUGCUUCUUAUAAUGAGUUUCUUCAUCAUGAAAGAUGAAUUAAUCACUUCAUUGACCUUACUAUAUAAUUUGCUGCAACGUACAGGAUUUACCAGACAACACCUACCACCUUAUAACAUCAGGACUUGCCCUUUGAGUCUAUAUUAAAUGAAUGCUUUCUUUGCCUUUAAGCAGUCAUAAUAAAUCAUACUGCACAAUUAAAUAGCUAUCACUCUUUAAUUAAGGAGUCAUCUUCUCCACUUCACCUGAUCUUGCCCAGUUUCCAGCAUGACCUGGUGCUUAAAGCUCAAGGAGAAAGUAAUUCAUAUUAUAAAUGUAUAACAGGGAAGUUCCCUUGUGUCGCAGCAGGUUAAGGAUCCACUGUUGCCACAAUAGUGGCGCAGGUGGUUACUGCAGUGCAGUUUUGAUCCCUGGCCCACGAACUUUCAUGUGCCAUGGGUGCAGCCAAAAAUAAAUAAAUAAACGAAAACGUAUAACAGACCAUUCAUGAGCUAAUCCUUGAAGAUAUUUUUCUCCAAUCAAAAGUUAUUUAGGAAUUUCCCUGGAGUUCCCAUCGUGGCAUGGUGGAAAUGAAUCUGACUAGUAUCACUGAAGGUGUAGGUUCGAUCCCUGGCCUCACUCAGUGGGUUAAGGAUCCGGUGUUUCUGUAAGCUGUGGCAUAGGUUGCAGACAUGGCUCGGAUCUGGCAUUGCUAUGGCUGUGGGGGUAGGCUGGCAGCUACAGUUCCAAUUCAACCCCCAGCCUGGGAACCUCCAUAUGCCUUAGGUGCAGCCCUAAAAAAUAAAAAUAAAAAUAAAAAUUAAAAAAAAAACUAAGGAAUUUCCCAUUGUGGCUCAGCAGUAGCAAACCCGACAAGCAUCCAUGAGGACUCAGGUUUGAUCCCUGGCCUUGCUCAGUGGAUUAAGGAUCUGGCAUUGCUCUGGCUGUGGCAUAAGCCAACAGCUGUAGCCAGGGAACUUCAAUAUGCCACAGGUGUGGCCCUAAAAGGAAAAAAAUAAAGUUAUUUAAAUCAAGGGAAAACCCUUUGAAAAACUCUUCCCUCAUAUACCUAACUGCUGUCACAUGGCUAUUUCAUUUUGUUCACUUCUGGCCAUUCGAUUUUCCCCUUUAAAGAGCAUUAGUUUCUACAGAAACAAGAAUGUUUGGGGAAAGCUUAGAAAUAUCCAGACCACAUGUGGUAUACAGUAAACUCCUGCAAUGUUUUGAAAUGUAUCUCCUGGUUUAGUUAAUUGAAGAAUAGAAUUAUAGAAGGUCACUGUUGCUAUAUCUCAGAUAUGAGUUUAUUUGACAGAUUAUAUGCUCAUAUUUGGGCCUGUCCCUAGCUUAUUUUAUAUGAUUCUGAUAAAGUAUUUCCUGAGAGCUAAAACCUUUCCUUAAAUUUUGCUGCAUUGCUUGAUUAUUUUGAAAAAUGGCAGCUGAAUUAAAGGAAUUGUUUACUCCUAGAGCAAAAUGCAGCUUUUGGUACCCUGGCCUCACCUACAUUUGCUUUAUUAGCCUCAAAACAUUUUUUGAAAUGAGGUUGACUUGCUACUUACUGCGCUAAGGAGGCACCUCAAAACAUUUUUUUUUAAAGAUCCUCUGAGAUCGGCUCUAAGGAAAUUCAAAUCAGGGCCUGUCACAGGUGAGUGACAAGAAUAUAGAUGAGAAAACACAGAGAUGUUUUCACCAACUGUCUCUCUCUAUGGCUGCUGAACAGAAUGAAAUUGAUACGCCUCACCCAAUCUUUAGUGAAAUAGAAGUUCCAUGAAGACAUGGAUCUGGCAUGUCUCUGGGUCUUGAGUGAGCGCCCUUGGCUAUCUUGAAGCAGAGGAUCUUGUGUUUUUCUAAAUAGUAAUUUAUGUGCAAUCUGCCUUUAUUGUUGUUUGCUAAGCAAGGUUAUAAUUUAUUCACUCAUCAAAUAUUUACCAAUGUUUGCUACGUAUCAGGAAUUGUUCUAGGUGUUGGUAAUACAGCAACGAGUAAAAGAGAUUAAAGUCCUCAACCCUAUUAGCUCACAGUAGGACUUCUAUAUUCCCAGAUAAAAUAAGUAAAAUAAAAUAUAUUUUAUUGCUAUGGAUGGAAAUAAAGAAGGGAGGGUAUUAGAGAAUGUUUGAGGGGAGGCCAUAAGUUCAGAUAGGCUGGCUAGGGUACUUAUCUUUACUAUGGAACAUCCUUCAGGUUAAAAGGUUGCCAGGAUUUGUAUCCAGAAAACCCUAUAGUCAUAUUCAACUGAGUUUCACCAAAUCUACCACCAAAACACUUCAUAUAAAUUGAUGACUUCCUCUAGUUUUGAUUUUUCUAACUUUUCUAGUUUUAAUUCUUACAGAAGUAUGGAAAAAAACAAAGAUAUUUCCAGUCUUAUUAAAGUUUCAAAGUGGUAUAGCUGAUCAGUCACUCAGGAAUUUUACAAAUAUUUUUUGAGUACCUACUCUGUGGCAAACAUUACAAUAUAUUGAUGAGAAUACUUUUAGUUGCAUAUUAAAAAAACAAAAAACAAAAAACGUGACUCAGAGUUUGCUGGUGGCUCAGUGGAUUAAGGAUCCAGCAUUGUCACUGCCGUGGCUGAGGUCACUGCUAUGACACAAGAUCAAUCCCUGGACUCAGAACUUCCGCAUGCCAGCAAAAUAAAAGAUAAAAAUGGAGUUCCCGUUGUGGCUCAGCGGUUAACAAACCCAACUAGCAUCUGUGAGGACACAGGUUCAAUCCCUGGCCUCGCUCAGUGGCUUAAGGAUCUGGCAUUGCUGUGAGCUGUGGUGCAGGUCGCAGAUGCAGCUCGGAUCCUGCGUUGCUGUGGCUCUGGUGUAGGCCAGAAGCUACAGCUCCGAAUGGACCCCUAGCCUGGGACCUUCCAUAUGCUGCGAGUGUGACCCUAAAAAAAAAAGUGAUUCAAAAUAGCUUAAAAAUGAAAGAAAUGUUUUGGCUCAUGUAACUGAAAAGUGCAGACGUAGGGCUCGGUUCUGGCUAGGCUUGAUCCAGUAGCUCAGCAAUGUUAACCAAGGAACAUGUUUUCUUACCAUCUGUUUUUCUGCUCUGCUUUCUGCAUCAUCACCUACUUGUCCCAAGAUGGUUGCUAGCAGCUCCCAGACAGGGUUUCAUUACUCCCAGCAAAAUUCUGAGAGUCACUGUGAUUGGGCCAACUUGGGUCCAAUGUCCACUUUUGAGCCAAUAUUGUAACCAGAGGAAGGAAUACAGUGACUGGCUUAGCCUCGGUCAUGUGUGUCAACCCUGAAACCACAGUGGUAGUCAGCCUCUCUGAAACCACGUGAUCUAUGAAUGGAAAUGGAUUCUCUUGAGAAGGAAGAAUUUGGGAAAGAAUUAGUGAACACACCAAAAAGAGAGUAUCCACUACAUCUCAAUUCAGAAUUUGAAGAUGAGUGAAACUGGCAUAGUUGCUGCCUUCAAAUAAUUUUUCCUAAUUGUUCCUAAAUCUUUCCAAACCAUUUAUUCAUAUUGCCCUUUUCAUUCUUCUUAUUCAUUUUUGAACCCAAUAGAAAUAUAGCUUGAGAUGGAUAAUAAAUAUUUAAUAAAUACAUAAAUGAGAACAUAUGCGUGUGGUGGGUCUUCCUGUCCAGAAUCUAGAAUACACAUGCAGCUAGCUCCAUGUGACCUGGUUCUCUGAAGCUUACACUACGUGGAUGUAAGAAAGCAAUGGACCAUCCUCAGGGAAAUGCAACUCAAAACCACAGUGAGACUAUCAUCUCACACCCGAUAGAAUGGCUGUUAUCAAAACGUCAAGAAAUAGCAAGCACUGACCAGGAUGCGAAAGAAGAGAACACUUGUGCUCUGUUGGUGGCCAUGUAAAUUGGUGCAGCCACUAUGGAAAACAGUACAGAGAUUUCUCAAAAAAUGGAAAAAAGAACUGCCCUACAAACCAGCAAUUUCAUUUCUGGGUAUUUAUCCAAAGAAAACAAAAAUACUAACUUGAAAAGAUAUAUGUACCCCCAUGUUCACUGAAGCAUUACUUACAAUGGCCGAGAUAUGGAAACAACAUUAAGGGUCCAUUGAUGGGUGAAUGGGUAAACACACUGUGGGUGUAUGUAUACACACACACACACACACACACACACACACACACACAUUCGGUAUAUAUACACAAUGGAAUAUUGUUCAGCCAUUAAAAAGAAGAAUGAAACCUUGCCAUUUGUGACAAAAUAAGUGGACCUCAAAAGCAUUAUGCCAAGUGAAAUAAGUCCGAGAAAGACAAAUACUGUAUGAUCUCACCUAUACGUGGAAUCUAAACGAAACAAAACCAAGCUCAUAGAUACAAGAGAACAAAUUGGUGGUUACCAGAGGCAGGAAGCAGGAGUCAACAGGUAAAAUGUGCAGGGAUAAAAUAAUUAUGACCUGGGAAUAUAGUGUACAGCUUAGGGACUAUAGAUAGUAAUACUUUAUUGCAUAUUUCAAAAUUGCUAGAAGAGUACAUCUUAAAAUUUCUCAUUACAAGGAAAAAACGUUUGUAGCUGUGUAAGGUGAUAGAUGUUAGCUGGACUUACUACGGUGAUCAUUUUUACAAUGUUUACAAAUAUCAAAUCAUUAUGUUGUACACCUGAGACUAAUGGUAUCUGCUCGUAUAUAAUACGUUAUCAUAGCUCAAUUCAAAAUAAAUUAAAAAACAAACAAAAAGCAAUGCCACCUUUAAGAGGCCACCUCUUCCCAUCUUGGGCGAAAGAAGGAAGACCCUUCUCUGGCUGGGAGCGUUUCACUAGGAGUUGACUCUAGAAGCUACAUAGGAGUUUCUACUGGAGUCCUUAACACUUUUUGUUUAGAAAAACAGCACUCAAGGCUGGCCCAUGAACCACAUCAGACCAGGAACAACUGAGAAUUCUCUGUUCUGUAUAGACUUAAGUGAGCUGCAUUGGCAUUGCAGAGAAAGUCUGAUCCCCAGGGGUUGUGGUCUAACAGGAGCUGAGAAAACUCAGAAGAGUGAUGGAAUUGGGGGGUGGUGACAGGCCAGAAACCAGCCAACAAUGACCUGCCAUCACUUAAGGCAGAAAGGAUAGAGGAACUGCAGGAGACGGCUGCUGACAGUGAAACUGGAGACAUCAGGCAGGGCCCAAGGAGAGUCCCAGACCAGUACAAGAGGCUGGGUUUGUGACAUCUCCCCAUUGCUAGGUGCAAUGACAUGGCCCUCAAUGGCCGCACAGCAAAUGUAGAGGGAGAAACUUCAAUUGCUCAAACCAUUAGUUUUACUGUUAUUUACGGAAUGGACCUCAAAACCCACAAUUGCUUGCUCAAGCUAAAAAAAAAAAAAAAAAA